UAUUCGUGAACCAGAUGGUAGUGACGGAUCGCGCAGGUUCGUAUCCCCUUAUUGGAUUGGGGGUGCGAUGAGCCGGUUCCAGGAAAUAGCUCCAUCGACAUUGACCGUACCCUAAACCGACACAGGUGGACUGGUAGAGUAUACCAAGGCGCUUGAGAGAACUAUACUGAAGGAACUCGGCAAAUUGCAUGCGUAACUUCGGGAUAAGCAUGACUUCUAUCGGGGCAACCCUUUAGGAGUGGCACAAAAGAGGGGGUGGCGACUGUUUACUAAAAACACAGGGCUCUGCGAAGUUGCAAAACGACGUAUAGGGUCUGACGCCUGCCCGGUGCCGGAAGGUUAAAAGGAGGGGUUAACGCCCUGAAUUGAAGCCCCGGUAAACGGCGGCCGUAACAAUAACGGUCCUAAGGUAGCGAAAUUCCUUGUCGGGUAAGUUCCGACCUGCACGAAUGGCGUAACGACUUCCCCACUGUCUCCAGUAUAGACUCAGCGAAGUUGAAUUCCCCGUGAAGAUGCGGGGUUCCUGCGGUCAGACGGAAAGACCCCAUGCACCUUUACUAUAGCUUUACGCUGGCAUUUGUGUCGGCAUGUGCAGGAUAGGUGGUAGGCUUUGAAGCAAGGACGCUAGUUCGUGUGGAGCCAAAAGAUGAGAUACCACCCUUAUCGUCAUAGAUGUCUAACCGCGGCAUAACAGUGUCCGGGACAGCGUAUGGUGGGUAGUUUGACUGGGGCGGUCGCCUCCCAAAGAGUAACGGAGGCGCGCGAUGGUGGGCUCAGAACGGUCGGAAAUCGUUCGACGAGUGCAAUGGCAUAAGCCUGCCUGACUGCGAGACCGACAGGUCGAGCAGAGAAAAGUCGGUCAUAGUGAUCCGGUGGUCCCGCGUGGAAGGGCCAUCGCUCAACGAAUAAAAGGUACGCUGGGGAUAACAGGCUGAUAAUGCCCAAGAGUCCAUAUCGACGGCAUUGUUUGGCACCUCGAUGUCGGCUCAUCACAUCCUGGGGCUGGAGCAGGUCCCAAGGGUAUGGCUGUUCGCCAUUUAAAGUGGUACGUGAGCUGGGUUUAGAACGUCGUGAGACAGUUCGGUCCCUAUCUGCCGUGGGUGUAGGAAUAUUGAGAAGAGCUGACCCUAGUACGAGAGGACCGGGUUGGACGAAUCUCUGGUGGACCUGUUGUGGCGCCAGCCGCAUUGCAGGGCAGCUAAAUUCGGACGGGAUAACUGCUGAAAGCAUCUAAGCAGGAAGCCUCCUUCAAAACUAGUAUUCCCUUGAGAGCCGUGGAAGACCACCACGUCGAUAGGCCGGGUGUGGAAGCGUAGCAAUAUGUGAAGCUUACCGGUACUAAUAGCCC
rnacentral:rRNA from 1 species